CCUACGGGAGGCAGCAGUGGGGAAUAUUGGGCAAUGGGCGCAAGCCUGACCCAGCAACGCCGCGUGAAGGAAGAAGGCUUUCGGGUUGUAAACUUCUUUUCUCAGGGACGAAGAAAGUGACGUUACCUGAGGAAUAAGCCACGGCUAACUACGUGCCAGCAGCCGCGGUACUACGUAGGUGGCAAGCGUUAUCCGGAUUUAUUGGGUGUAAAGGGCGUGUAGGCGGGAGGGCAAGUCAGAUGUGAAAACCUAGGGCUCAACCCUGGGCCUGCAUUUGAAACUGGGGUUCGUGAGUGCGGGAGAGGAAAUUGGAAUUCCGUGUGUAGCGGUGAAAUGCGUAGAUAUACGGAGGAACACCAGUGGCGAAGGCGGAUUGCUGGACAGUAACUGACGCUGAGGCGCGAAAGCGUGGGGAGCAAACAGGAUUAGAUACCCUAGUAGUC
rnacentral:rRNA from 1 species